UUCAGCCAUUGGAUUUCGUUUUAUAUUUGUCUGCUAGAUUGAAGAGCCAGUUAUCAAAUUUCUGUUCCCCAUAAUAUACCUACAGAUUGUGAACUAGUCACCCCUUAACCUUUCUUUGUUAAACUAAAUAGGUUGAGCUCCUGUCACUACAGGACAUGGUUUUCCAAUCUCUCAAACAUUUUCAUGGUUCUUCUUUGAACCCUCUCUAAUUUAUCAACAUCGUUCUUGAAUUGUGGACAUCAGAACUGGACACACAGUUUUCCAGUAGUGCUUGCACAGUGCCAAAUACAAAGGAGAGCUGUACUCUCUUUAUGAAAGUGAUUAGAGGAGAAAGAGCUUUCUAGGAGAACUGCUUUCCUAAAACUCAGACUGGAGAAGGUUCUGUGAGACCAAAGAGCUGUCUGAUGACCCAGCAGAGACAGCCGUAUGAUAUAUUGAAUUCCAUUCUUUGGUGAAUCUUUCUGUUUUUAAUUUAAAAUAAAUAGAUACAAUUAAUUAAGAUAAUCCAGGUGAGUUCUUGUGAUUUUUCUCAUUUGUAAAUUCUUUUUUCUAUGAAAAUAGCAAACACAGUGUAAUUAAUUAAUUAAAAACACCUUCUCUCUUCUUCUUUCUCAUUUCCUUCCAAUGCA